rnacentral:rRNA from 1 species
AAUAAAUAAUUUAUUAAUAAAAUAAAUAGUAAUUUAAUUAAAAAAAAUAUAAAUUUUUUAGUAUUAGAUAUUAACAAAUUUAAUUAAUUAUAGUUGAUUAGUAUUGUAAAAGAAAAUUAAAAAUUCUUUUAAAGAAAAAAAAUUUUGUAUCUUGUGUAUCAGAGUAAAUUAAAUAAUUAUUAAAAAUUUAAUUUUUUCGAAAUUAUAAGAGUUAAUUUUAUAUAAAUUUUAUUGUUAAAUUAAUAUUUAAAAUAUAAAAUUAGAAAUGAAAAGUUAGUCGUUUAUAAUAUAUCUAAUUUUUUAAGAAAUAAAUUUAAUUUAGAAUUUUAUUAAAAUAUUUUUUUUAAAUAAAAAAAUUUAAUAAAAUUUUAAUAUUUUUUGGGUAAGCUAAAAAAUAAAAUAUUAUAAAUUAAUUAAAAUUACAUAAAUUUUAAAAUUAAAAAUUUUUAUUUAAUAAUUUGUUAUAAUUAAUUUUGUGAAGGUAUAAAAUUUAUAUUGAUUUUAAUUUUUAUAUUAAAAUAAUUUUUUUAAUUAAAAAAAUAAAUAAAUAAUGAUUUAAUUAGUAUAAAUAUUUAUAAAAAUAAAAAUAAAUAAAAGAUUAUUUUUAAGAAUUCGGCAAAAAUAAUUUUCACCUGUUUAAUAAAAACAUGUCUUAUUGAUAAUAAUUUUAAGUCUAACCUGCCAUGUGAAAUUUUAACGGCCGCAGUAUUUUGACUGUGCGAAGGUAGCAUAAUCAAUAGUUUUUUAAUUGAAAACUGGAAUGAAUGGUUGAAUGAAAAAUUAACUUUUUUAAAAUAAAAUAAUUAAAAUUUUAUUUUUAAGUUAAAAAGCUUAAAUAAAAUUUAAAGACGAGAAGACCCUAUAGAAUUUAAUAAUUUUAAGUUAAUAAUUAAAGAUUUUAAAUUUAUUAAUAAUAAAAUUUAUUUGAUUGGGGUGAUUUUAAAAUUUAAUAAACUUUUAAAAAAUAAAUUCAUUAAUUAGUGUAAAUUUGAUCCUUUAGAAAGAUUAAAAGAAUAAAUUACCUUAGGGAUAACAGCGUAAUUUUUUUGGAAAGUUCAUAUUUAUAAAAAAGAUUGCGACCUCGAUGUUGGAUUAAAAUAAAUAUUUAGUGUAGAAGCUAAAAAAUUUAGUCUGUUCGACUAUUAAAAUUUUACAUGAUCUGAGUUUAGACCGGUGUGAGCCAGGUUGGAUUCUAUCUUAAAUUAUAUUAAUAAUAUUUUAGUACGAAAGGACCAAAUAUUUAAUUUAAAAUUUAAUUUAAUAAUAAAAAUU